rnacentral:rRNA from 1 species
CGAAAGAGAACCUGGACACAGGUGCUGCAUGGCCGUCGUCAGCUCGUGUCGUGAGAUGUUGGGUUAAGUCCCGCAACGAGCGCAACCCUUGUCAUUAGUUGCUACGAAAGGGCACUCUAAUGAGACUGCCGGUGACAAACCGGAGGAAGGUGGGGAUGACGUCAGGUCCUCAUGGCCCUUAUGGGUAGGGCUACACACGUCAUACAAUGGCCGGUACAGAGGGCUGCCAACCCGCGAGGGGGAGCCAAUCCCAGAAAACCGGUCGUAGUCCGGAUCGCAGUCUGCAACUCGACUGCGUGAAGUCGGAAUCGCUAGUAAUCGCGGAUCAGAAUGUCGCGGUGAAUACGUUCCCGGGUCUUGUACACACCGCCCGUCACACCAUGGGAGCGGGUUCUGCCAGAAGUAGGUAGCCUAACCGUAAGGAGGGCGCUUACCACGGCAGGGUUCGUGACUGGGGUGA